rnacentral:rRNA from 1 species
UACGUAGGGGGCUAGCGUUGUCCGGAAUCAUUGGGCGUAAAGAGCGCGUAGGCGGCCAGAUAAGUCCGGUGUGAAAGUCACAGGCUCAACCUGUGAAUGCCGCUGGAAACUGUCUGGCUAGAGUCCGGAAGGGGCGAGUGGAAUUCCUGGUGUAGCGGUGAAAUGCGCAGAUAUCAGGAGGAACACCAAUGGCGAAGGCAGCUCGCUGGGACGGUACUGACGCUGAGGCGCGAAAGCCAGGGGAGCGAACGGG